rnacentral:rRNA from 1 species
ACGGAAUUCUUCGGGAUUUAGUGGCGGACGGGUGAGUAACGCGUGAGAAUCUGCCCUUAGGUUGGGGACAACAGUUGGAAACGACUGCUAAUACCCAAUGUGCCGAGAGGUGAAAGGUUAACUGCCUGGGGAUGAGCUCGCGUCUGAUUAGCUAGUUGGAGUGGUAACGGCACACCAAGGCGACGAUCAGUAGCUGGUCUGAGAGGAUGAUCAGCCACACUGGGACUGAGACACGGCCCAGACUCCUACGGGAGGCAGCAGUGGGGAAUUUUCCGCAAUGGGCGAAAGCCUGACGGAGCAAGACCGCGUGAGGGAGGAAGGCCUAUUGGUUGUAAACCUCUUUUGAUAGGGAAGAACACAAUGACGGUACCUAUCGAAUCAGCAUCGGCUAACUCCGUGCCAGCAGCCGCGGUAAUACGGAGGAUGCAAGCGUUAUCCGGAUUUAUUGGGCGUAAAGCGUCCGUAGGUGGCAAACCAAGUCAGUUGUUAAAGCGUAGAGCUUAACUCUAUAAGGGCAAUUGAAACUGGUUAGCUAGAGUGCGAUAGGGGCAAGGGGAAUUCCCAGUGUAGCGGUGAAAUGCGUAGAUAUUGGGAAGAACAUCGGUGGCGAANGCGCCUUGCUGGGUCUGCACUGACACUGAGGGACGAAAGCUAGGGGAGCGAAAGGGAUUAGAUACCCCUGUAGUCCUAGCCGUAAACGAUGGAUACUAGGCGUUGUCCGUAUCGACCCGAGCCGUGCCGAAGC